UACGAAGGGGGCUAGCGUUGCUCGGAUUGACUGGGCGUAAAGGGCGCGUAGGCGGUUCGUACAGUCAGACGUGAAAUUCCUGGGCUCAACCUGGGGGCUGCGUUUGAUACGUACGGACUUGAGUGCGGAAGAGGGUCGUGGAAUUCCCAGUGUAGAGGUGAAAUUCGUAGAUAUUGGGAAGAACACCGGUGGCGAAGGCGGCGACCUGGUCCGAUACUGACGCUGAGGCGCGAAAGCGUGGGGAGCAACAGGAU
rnacentral:rRNA from 1 species